ensembl:lncRNA
UUUCUCUCUGGUCUUUCUCACUGUUCUGGCCAGACAUCAAUUAUUAAUGAGAUCUGAGCCGGUAAUAAUAACAUAUGUUGGUUCAGCUUGUCAGUGUGAAUUAAAUGUGUAUUUAUUUGUCCGUUCUCGCCGAAAAACCAUCACCGUGUUCUGGAGCGCAGAGCAAUCGAUGUGAUGUUCAGCCCUUAGACUAAGAAAAUCUCACAAGCACUCAUAAACAACCAUUUUCAUCUCUAUAAUAUGUUCUUCUAAUUGUUUUUUGUUGAUUCGCCGCUGUGUUUUAAUGUAAAAGGCUGUAGUUUCUGUAUGUACACUUUUUUUCCCUUGAACAAAUAUUUCAUUUUAACAUGUUAACAGCUCACAAACAUCUGAAUUUAGCUCUUGAUGUGUUCUAAUUGGCGGAUUGUGUGCAAUCGCCGUAAUAUUUUAUUUUUAAAAGGUCUUAAACAAGAAUAAACUCGUUUGUUGUGAGCUCGUUGAGACUGCACGCGCUGUUCGGAGCGGUGACAUAUCUCUCGUCUAUCUCUCUGUUCUCUGUCGCCAGACAUCAAUUAUUAAUAAGCCCUGACCCGCUAAUAAUAAGAUAUGUUGGUUUAGCUUGUCAGUGUGAAUUAAAUUGAUUUAUUUAGUUGUAUUUUUAACCGAUUUAAAAGUGAAACUAAGCGAGACUCCUCCCUCUCAGUCCCGGGAAUUGCUCCUGUAGAGGCGCAUUUUCUCUCAGACAAUGAAAGUCUCAGCACACAUACAUUCCUCACACAGAGCCAAAAAUCCAUAUUCAAAUCAAAAUAGCCGACUUCCUGUUGGUCGUAGCUAAUGACUGUAAAUUAGAAAGUUGUCCGUCUUAAUAAGAACAAUAUAUGUACCGAGUUUGGUGUCUGUAGCUAAAACUAAGCCCCCCACUUUUGACAAAAGGUGGCGCUAUAGAGUGCCUCCUCCACGCCCUUUUAUGACCUUUUGCCAGUGUCUA